GAUGAACGCUGGCGGCGUGCCUAAUACAUGCAAGUCGAGCGAACGGACGUGAAGCUUGCUGCUCUGAUGUUAGCGGCGGACGGGUGAGUAACACGUGGAUAACCUACCUAUAAGACUGGGAUAACUUCGGGAAACCGGAGCUAAUACCGGAUAAUAUUUUGAACCGCAUGGUUCAAAAGUGAAAGACGGUCUUGCUGUCACUGAUAGAUGGAUCCGCGCUGCAUUAGCUAGUUGGUAAGGUAACGGCUUACCAAGGCAACGAUGCAUAGCCGACCUGAGAGGGUGAUCGGCCACACUCGAACUGAGACACGGCCCAGACUCCUACGGGACGCAGCAGUAGGGAAUCUGCGGCAAAGGGCGAAAGCAUGACGGAGCAACGCCGCGUGAGUGAUGAAGGUCUUCGGAUCGUAAACUCUGUUAUUAGGGAAGAACAUAUGUGUAAGUAACUGUGCACAUCUUGACGGUACCUAAUCAGAAAGCCACGGCUAACUACGUG
rnacentral:rRNA from 1 species